rnacentral:rRNA from 1 species
UGGAGAAUUGAGGGGGGCUGCUCCUAGUACGAGAGGACCGGAGUGGACGCAUCACUGGUGUUCGGGUUGUCAUGCCAAUGGCACUGCCCGGUAGCUAAAUGCGGAAGAGAUAAGUGCUGAAAGCAUCUAAGCACGAAACUUGCCCCGAGAUGAGUUCUCCCUGAGACUUUAAGUCUCCUGAAGGAACGUUGAAGACGACGACGUUGAUAGGUCGGGUGUGUAAGCGCAGCGAUGCGUUGAGCUAACCGAUACUAAUGAACCGUGAGGCUUAACCUU